rnacentral:rRNA from 1 species
GAGUUUGAUCCUGGCUCAGAUUGAACGCUGGCGGCAGGCCUAACACAUGCAAGUCGAGCGGUAGAGAGAAGCUUGCUUCUCUUGAGAGCGGCGGACGGGUGAGUAAUGCCUAGGAAUCUGCCUGGUAGUGGGGGAUAACGCUCGGAAACGGACGCUAAUACCGCAUACGUCCUACGGGAGAAAGCAGGGGACCUUCGGGCCUUGCGCUAUCAGAUGAGCCUAGGUCGGAUUAGCUAGUUGGUGAGGUAAUGGCUCACCAAGGCGACGAUCCGUAACUGGUCUGAGAGGAUGAUCAGUCACACUGGAACUGAGACACGGUCCAGACUCCUACGGGAGGCAGCAGUGGGGAAUAUUGGACAAUGGGCGAAAGCCUGAUCCAGCCAUGCCGCGUGUGUGAAGAAGGUCUUCGGAUUGUAAGGCACUUUAAGUUGGAAGGAAGGGCAGUAAAUUAAUACUUUAGCUGUUUUGACGUUACCGACAGAAUAAGACACCGGCUAACUCUGUGCCAGCCGCCG